rnacentral:rRNA from 1 species
UACGUAGGGGGCGAGCGUUGUCCGAAGUUACUGGGCGUAAAGCGCGCGUAGGCGGGGGAUUAAGUGAGAGGUGAAAGGCUGGGGCUCAACCCCAUGCAGUGCCUCUCAUACUGGUCUUCUUGAGGGCGGUAGGGAGAAGUGGAAUGGCUGGUGUAGCGGUGAAAUGCGUAGAUAUCAGGAGGAACACCGGUGGCGAAGGCGGUUCUCUGGGCAUUACCUGACGCUGAGGAGCGAAAGUGUGGGGAGCGAACAGG